rnacentral:rRNA from 1 species
UACGGAGGAUCCGAGCGUUAUCCGGAUUUAUUGGGUUUAAAGGGUGCGCAGGCGGGAGAUUAAGUCGGCGGUGAAAUUUUGCAGCUCAACUGUAAAAGUGCCUUCGAAACUGGUUUCCUUGAGUGUAGAUGAAGUAGGCGGAAUUUGUGGUGUAGCGGUGAAAUGCAUAGAUAUCACGAGGAACUCCGAUUGCGCAGGCAGCUUACUAAACUACUACUGACGCUCAGGCACGAAGGCGUGGGGAUCAAACAGGAUUAGAUACCCGCGUA